rnacentral:rRNA from 1 species
GUAGGUGGCAAGCGUUGUCCGGAAUUAUUGGGCGUAAAGCGCGCGCAGGCGGUUCUUUAAGUCUGAUGUGAAAGCCCACGGCUCAACCGUGGAGGGUCAUUGGAAACUGGAGAACUGAGUACAGAAGAGGAAAGCGGAAUUCCACGUGUAGCGGUGGAAUGCGUAGAGAUGUGGAGGAACACCAGUGGCGAAGGCGGCUUUCUGGUCUGUAACUGACGCUGAGGCGCGAAAGCGUGGGGAGCAAACAGGAUUAGAUACCCUGGUAGUCCACGCCGUAAACGAUGAGUGCUAAGUGUUAGGGGGGUUUUCCGCCCCCCUUAGUGCUGCAGCUAACGCAUUAAGCACUCCGCCUGGGAGUACGGCCGCAAGGCUG